rnacentral:piRNA from 1 species
GCACACUAGGGGGCAUUUCUAGAUC